UACGUAGGGUGCAAGCGUUGUCCGGAAUUAUUGGGCGUAAAGAGCUCGUAGGCGGUUUGUCGCGUCUGCUGUGAAAUUUCGGGGCUCAACCCCGAACUUGCAGUGGGUACGGGCAGACUAGAGUGUGGUAGGGGAGACUGGAAUUCCUGGUGUAGCGGUGAAAUGCGCAGAUAUCUGGAGGAACACCGGUGGCGAAGGCGACAUCCUGGACCGGUAUUGACGCUGAGGCGCGAAAGCCAGGGGAGCAAACGGG
rnacentral:rRNA from 1 species